UGUUUAAAUGGACCGAGGAAGGAACUUUCCUCCACAUCUAGCGCUGGCUCAAGUUUUUCUCUUCCAAAACAUUGGAUGGGAUCCAUUGCUGGUGCUGAGAUAUGCACUGAUUAAACCACAAGUUCUGGUUAUAACCUUUAUCUUCGGAGAGAUACGUUGACCGAGUGGGUUAAGCAGCAGAUUCUGACUCCUUCCAGAACUUCCUCCUCACACACACUGUUUUUUGUUGGGUUCUACUUUUUUUGGUAAUAGAUGCUGACUCCUUAUUACAGAACCUGACUUUAAAAUUGUUAGAUGAGCUGCUUUGAUUACUUUUGUUUUUGUUUUUAGCAACUGUGAAAAAUAACUUCACUUUAACCUUGGCAUUUGACAGAAUUUUACUUCCUUAUAGUAUGUCUGUAUAAUGAAAGAUAGUAGUUAGUUUCAAGUCUAACGGUUUGUUCCAGAGCAUUCAAUUUUUCCUUUCUGUUUUUCAACAUUUAUCAAU
rnacentral:lncRNA from 1 species